GGAUGAGUACAUGAAGCUGUAUAAAGCUAACCCUAAGGUGCAUAAGAGCUACUUGGGAAGGCCGUGGAAAGAUUAUUCAAGGACUGUGUUUAUAGGGUGUAAUUUAGAGGCUUUGAUUAAUUCCGAUGGGUGGUUACCUUGGAGCGGGGAUUUGUCGCUCAAGACGCUUUAUUACGGUGAAUCUAAGAACACGGGUCCGGGAUCUGAUAGGUCAAAAAGGGUUCCAUGGAGCAGUGUGAUUCCAGACGAGCAUGUUGAUAUGUAUUCGGUGGCUAACUUUAUUCAAGCCGAGGAGUGGGCAAUGUCUGGUUGAAUCAAGUCAAGACUAAAAAGCGUUGUUCGUUAGUUGAUAAAGUUUUUAAAACAAAGAUAUCCAAAAUUUUGCAUUCGUAUUAGUUGUAUCAACUGAAGUUUCAGAUCUUUAUGACUUAUUGAGGUCAGUGCCGGUCCAUUGAAUCUGAGGGCUAGAAAUUCAAAGAAAAUUAUGGGCAGUGAAAAUAAGUAUAUUUUCAAAAAUAUAAAAGAUUUUGUAUGGAAUGAGAUCCGAACUCCCUACAUAUAGAUUAUACAUCAACAUUUCAACCAUUAUGCUUCAGAGAACAUUGGCCAAAACAAACCGGUUUAAUCUAUAUAACUAGUUAUUAACCCGCAUGAUCAAGUUUUCUUUAAUACAUAAAUAUUUUAGUUUAUGCAAUAAACUAUAUCAGUAAAUUAAUAUAGUUUGGUGUUAUAUAUAUUAUCUAAUUUUAUAAUAAUAUUUGUAAAGCGUAUAAUAUUAUUACAAUAAAAUUUAUAAAUUUUGUAUUUUUGUAACAAAAAUUUCAUUUAAAAACAUUAUUAUGUAACAAUACUGAUUUACAUAAUUUUUGUAUUAUUUUAAAAUUUGAAAUAUAUGUGAAAAUUAAAUUAACAUCUCAACCAUUACACUACAGAGAAUAUUCGCCAAAAAAACCGGUUUAAUCUAUAUAAUAUUUUGGGCCGAAAACUCGAAUUUCUAAUGCUUCCUAUCAGAGCCGGUACUGAUUGAGUUAAAAUAAUAAAGUUACAAACUAUAGAAGGAAGCAACUUUUUUUGCGUAGUUAUCACUAAAUCUAGCUAUCAACGUUUAGCAUGUGGGUUGUAAUUAAAUGAGUAUGGAGGAGAAUUUCUUGUGACGAUCGGGGAAGCGUAUCAUGGUUUUUGCUUGACGUUAAAGAAGAAUUUGUUGUUGUAAGCUUUUAAGGAAGUAGACAUCAGUCAUCAUUUGAAUGUUUUUGAGGGUUUUUUUUUUUUUGCUAAAGUGUUUUUGAGAGUUGACCGUUUAAUUCCAAAGAAGAGUAGGUUUCAAUGGUAAAACAAAUUUACAUUUAGUCUGAUAGGGUUCUUUUUAAGUGGUUCACCUAAAGACAUGCUAGUCGGGUAGGUGUCCAUGCAUUAGGCACAUAAUUCUAAUGUUUUGGACCUUUUGGUGAAUCAUAGGGCCACGCAUUAAAAAAAAAAAAAAAACUGUUGGGCAGAAAUAGCCUCUCGAGACCGGUUGAUCAUGUCCAAAAUAUUAUAGCAAAAAAAAAGGAUGGUAGGGAAACUGCAUCUUGAUAUGAGAUUUUGCUUAUAUGGUUCCAAUGGCACUCGUUGUGGAGUGGUAGUUGAGGAGUGCUGGAUUCGAUUGCAUAAGCUCGUUCCAUCUGUUAAUAAAAUGACCAAUUAGUUUUUGAUCUAUUUAUUUUGGCUAAAUAUAUUAAAUCAACUUGUAUAAAUCUAAUAAAAAAUUGAUAUAUAAAUUGUAUAAUUAUCAAAAAUUAAAACUAAACAGUAUUUAUAAAAAAAAUAUAUAAAAUAAACUAAUAAUAUUACAAUUAAAAUUUUCUAUUUAAAAAAAAUAGAAAAUUUUGAAAUUUUUAUUGAUAAAAAUUGUAUAGUUAUAAAAAUAGAAUUAAAUGAUAUUUAAAAAUUUGUAAUGUCAUAUUUGAAUAUAUAUAUAUAUAUAUAAUGAUAAUGUAUGAAUUAUUAUCAUAUUUUAAAAGUUUAAUAAAAAUAUAAAUCAAUGUUAAAUGUAAUAUAUGAUUUAUUACUAUAUUAUAAAAAAUUUAGCAAAAGUAUAAAUCAACAUUAAAUGUAACUGUCUAUAUCUUAUUUAUCUAUAAAUUAUCUUAUCAAUUUUAGUAGAUAUGUCAUAUUUUGUUUUUUUGUGAAAGUGAUUGUAGAAACGAUAUAUGACAAGUCACUUUUCAAAUAAUGUUUAGAAGAUGCUAUUAUUCACAUUAAAAUUGUCCAAAACUAGUCUACAAUUUCAAAGUUAGGAAAACAAUAAUAGCCUUGUUUGUUUCAUGGCCACUGCGUCAGACCAUCCGCAACGCAGAGAUUUCAUGAAUCUUUAGCGCAUUAACCUAGGAUGAUCUCAAUAAAAAAAUAUUAAUAAGGCUGAGAUCAGUAAGGAGUGGUCCCUAAAUAAGGUGUUUAAGAACUGAGUCUUUAGUGACGUGGCAACGUCAUGCGCUCUUUCCUUCUCUUUCCUCCUUUCUUUUCGUUUUCCACCGACGUCACCGAUCUCCGCCGGAGACUCUCUCUGAUUAUCCUCUCCCUUCUGUAUCCUUUCGAUUGACAGAUUCGAUUUCGUCUCUUCCUUAUUUCUUCCAAAACCUUCAACUUUCUCAAUUUAGGAGUAAAUCAAAGAUCUCUCUUUGUUGAUGGGCACCGCAGAGGUUUUUGGAUCUCCGACGAAAUCGCCGCUCACGGUAUCGACUUCCAUCACAAAAAUCUUCGAUGGUUCAUACUUUUUUUUUCCUAAGAAUUUCUAAAUGGAGUACACCAUUGGACACACAUUUUUGAUAAAAAAUUUUAACUAUUCAAACAAAAGAAAUUAAAAAAAAAAUUACUUUAAUAUUGCUAAGGACUCCAAUGGUGGUAACACCAUUGGAGAUGCUCUCAAGUGUCAGCGGCAAGAAAAGGUAAUGCGAAGGAAAUAAAAAUAAUAGAAACUGUCAAACUGAGAAUUAUGGAGACUCAAAAAGUUAAAUGCAGAUGUAACAGAAAGUGAACUUUUCACGUCAUUAAUUUCAGCGUCUCUUUCACUCAUUAUUAAUUGCUACCCGUCUGGAAAAUAAGUUAGCGCUAACUUUCACCGGUGUUUUGGAUCGCAGACGCUAGAUGCAGCAGUCAUGAAACGAACAGUGGUAAUACAUUUUUCUUUUCCAGGGGUAAUACAUAACAACCCAAAAUCAGAUAAAUAGAGCUCAACUGUAGACGUAAACAUUAAACAGAUGAUAACCAAAUACCAACCCGGAUAAUCUCAUCACCUUUCCUUCCUAAUAAAACCGUACUUUAAAAGAAGGUCAGCCCACAAAAUUCCAAUCUCUAUCAUCUCCGUAACUCUAAUGGUAUGUGUGAGUGUAAUAAAAAAUGGUAUGUGUGACUAUCUAUAUAUAUAAAGAAAUGUUCGCCUCUCUCCCGUGAAGCCACGUCAUCAAUUUGUGCAUUCUGGGAGUGACACGUGUCUCAUUUUAUAUUUAGGGCCAAAAUAAAUGAAUGCAGUUAAGGGUAAUUGAACUCAGCACCUCUAGCACUGGUAAUUUCUCUUAGAACCACUAGGCUAAAGUCAAUUUUUAUAAAUAUGUGGCCGCGAAAAUACUUAUUAUCGUGUCAGCUGGAAGCCCAAGCUUUUUCUGCUUGUGGUCAGGGCCGACACUGAAUUGACGUCAAGAUGAAGAUCGUGAAAUCAAAAACUUUGCUCCAAACAGUUUUGCAAUGUUUCCAACCUUUAUAACUCGAUGCAUAUAAUAUAUAUCAAAAUACAUUUGUUGUACACGCUUUUAUUAGUUUUGCUUUUAAAAGAAGGUAUUUACAGUUAUAAAUGUUUUGUGUCAGUGAAGUAAUGGUUGAAAAAUCUAUAUACAUAUGUCAUUUUAAAAUAACACUCAACUUCUAUAUAUAGUCAAUACAUAUGUCCAUGUUAUAUUUUAGACUAAAUAUUUUCUCUUUUAAAAAUAUAGAAAACAAUUUUUUUAGUCUACAAGCAAAUGUUGUAGAGUAAGUAUGCAUUAUACAAAAUAAUAUAUAUUUAAAAUCCAUACACAAAAACAUAAAAAUUGUUAUAGGCCUCUUUUUGACACAUGCACACUCCACUAUGAAUAAUAAUUAAAAAAAAAACAGUAUUGUCAUCAAACUUCAUCACAAAUCCACAUUUGUACAUCUAUAAUUAUGAGUUGGACAAUUAGUUAAUUUGAUACAAUACCAAAUCAAGAAUAAUCGAAAAACAACUAUACCACCGCAUACUAAUAAGUAAGACAUAAAAGAUAACCAAAUUCUUGAAUCUUAAAACAAAUUUCAACUCGAGCAUUUAGUGAAUAUCAAAUUAACUAAUAUCCCGCCCGUAGGGCGGGCCGACCCUAGUAAUCAAUAUUUAAUUUUCUGAUAUUAUUUUCCAUAGAAAACAAUAUAAUUCAUUCUAAUCUCUAUCAUCUCCGUAACUCUAAUGGUAUCUAUAACUGUAACCAAUAUUUAAUUUUCUGAUAUUUUUUUCCAAUUUCAGAAAACAACAUAAUUUAUUUUUGACCAUUCCCAUAAACAGAUAUAUAUACACACGGGGUUCUCUAAUGGCUUAUUCGAAACUACUCCAUCAUCGCCAUCAUGUCACCCAUUCUCACCCUUCUCUUCUCCCUCUUCCUCUUCGCCUCUCCAUCUUCCUCCUCCCGUCAACACCAAACUCCUCCGCUCACUCCCUCCGCACAGAUCCGUCUUGCAUGCAACGCCACUCGCUACCCAGACCUCUGCGUCUCUUCUCUAUCCAAACCGGGUCGAGUCCCUCCGAGUCCUAACCCAUCACAGAUCAUCCACUCAGCGAUCUCCGUCUCUUUAGAAAACCUCAAAACCGCUCAAACGAAAGUGAAGUCUAUCCUGGACGCGUCCGUAGGCAAUCUAAACCGCACCAACGCCGCGAAAACGUGCCUCCAGCUACUCUCUUACUCCGAACACCGCACCAACUCAACAGAUCAAGCUCUGACACGUGGCAAAAUCAAAGACGCUCGCGCUUGGAUGAGCGCUGCUCUCGUCUACCAGUACGACUCAUGGUCCGCGCUCAAAUACGUCAACGGCACGAAGGAAGUCGCUGAAACGAUGUCGUUUCUCAACGGACUCAUCAAUGUCACCAGUAACGCUCUUAGCAUGAUGGUAUCGUACGAUAACUUCGGAGACAACGUCGCCUCGUGGGCUCCUCCGGCAACGGAAAGAGACGGGUUCUGGGAUAAGACUAGUGGGCCUAAGGUGGGUGCUGGGCCGAGUUUGGGCUUCCCUUCCGGUUUAAAAGAAGACGUUACGGUGUGUAAAAACGGGAUGUGCCGUUACAAGACGGUGCAGGAUGCCGUUAACGCGGCGCCUGAUAACUACGGAGCGCGUAAGUUUGUUAUAAAGAUUAACGAAGGAGUGUAUGAGGAGACAGUUACGGUUCCGUUUGAGAAGAAGAACGUUGUCUUCAUCGGAGACGGUAUGGGCAAAACGGUCAUUACAGGAUCUUUAAACGCCGGUAUGCCUGGUAUCACCACAUACAACACUGCAACUGUCGGUAAGUUUUUCUUAUUAUAAGCCAAUGGAUUAUGAGUUAACACCUUGUUCAUGUUAAAAACAACGAAACAAGCCGUAGUAGCUUAGUGAUAAUUUUUUUGAAGUUCACUGUGUACCCACGUCAAUUCGAGUUCCACUUAUGCUGGAAACUAAAUUAUCUUUGUUUGGUCAAUCUGGACUGUCCAGAUGGUUAACAUGGUGGCCAUAACAUCGUAAAAAUAUUUAUUUAAUUAUGGACAAUAAGCUGUGAAAUAUUAUUAAAUUAAGUUAUUUGUAUUAAAAGUAAUAAUUAUAACAUACUGCUACAUGUUACAAAAAAAAAAAAUAUAUAUAUAUAUGUAUAUAUAACAUACUGCUACAUGUUUGGUUUGAUAGGAGUGGUAGGAGAUGGAUUCAUGGCACGUGAUAUAACGUUUCAAAACACGGCGGGACCAGACACUCACCAAGCAGUUGCGUUUAGAUCCGACAGCGAUUUUUCUCUGCUCGAGAACUGUGAGUUCCUUGGGAACCAAGACACACUCUAUGCCCAUGGCCUCCGUCAGUUUUACAAAAAAUGCCGUAUCCAAGGAAACGUUGACUUUAUCUUUGGAAACUCAGCGUCCGUCUUCCAAGACUGCGAGAUCCUAAUAGCGCCGCGUCAGCUUAAUCCCGAGAAGGGUGAGAAUAACGCCGUCACUGCCCAAGGAAGAGUUGACCCAGCGCAGUCCACGGGGUUCGUGUUCUUGAACUGUUCGAUAACCGGAACGGAUGAGUACAUGAAGCUGUAUAAGGCCAACCCUAAGGUGCAUAAGAGCUACUUGGGAAGGCCGUGGAAAGAUUACUCAAGGACUGUGUUUAUUGGGUGUAAUUUAGAGGCUUUGAUUAAUUCCGAUGGGUGGUUACCUUGGAGCGGGGAUUUGUCGCUCAAGACGCUUUAUUACGGUGAAUCUAAGAACACGGGUCCGGGAUCUGAUAGGUCAAAAAGGGUUCCAUGGAGCAGUGUGAUUCCAGACGAGCAUGUUGAUAUGUAUUCGGUGGCUAACUUUA
rnacentral:lncRNA from 1 species